UACGUAGGGGGCUAGCGUUGCUCGGAAUCACUGGGCGUAAAGCGCACGUAGGCGGACUUUUAAGUCGGAGGUGAAAUCCUGGAGCUCAACUCCAGAACUGCCUUCGAUACUGAGAGUCUUCGAGUUCGGGAGAGGUGAGUGGAACUGCGAGUGUAGAGGUGAAAUUCGUAGAUAUUCGCAAGAACACCAGUGGCGAAGGCGGCUCACUGGCCCGAUACUGACGCUGAGGUGCGAAAGCGUGGGGAGCAAACAGG
rnacentral:rRNA from 1 species